rnacentral:rRNA from 1 species
UACCCCCUUAUGCAAGCGUUAUCCGGAAUUAUUGGGCGUAAAGCGUUUGUAGGCGGGCGAGUGUGUUUAAUGUUAAAUCUUAAAGCUCAACUUUGAAAUUGCGUUAAAAACUGCUUGUCUUGAGUAUGGUAGGGGUAAAGGGAAUUCCCAGUGUAGCGGUGAAAUGCGUAGAUAUUGGGAAGAACACUAAACAGCGAAGGCACUUUACUAGGCUAAUACUGACGCUGAGAAACGAAAGGUAAGGUAGCGAAACGGAUUAGAUACCCGUGUAGUCUUACCCGUAAACUAUGGACACUAAACGGUAAAUUUUUAAUUUACUGUUAAAGCUAACGCGUUAAGUGUCCCGCCUGGGGAGUAUGCUUGCAAAAGUGAAACUCAAAGGAAUUGACGGGGGCCCGCACAAGCGGUGGAGCAUGUGGUUUAAUUCGACGGUACACGAAGAACCUUACCAGGAUUUGACAUGCUAGAUAGUUGCUUGAAAGAGUAACGUGCCGUAAGGAAUCUAGACACAGGUGGUGCAUGGCUGUCGUCAGUUCGUGUUGUGAAAUGUUGGGUUAAGUCCCGCAACGAACGCAACCCUUGUCUUUAGUUAUUUUCUAAAGAGACUGCCUGUAAUAAACAGGAGGAAGGUAAGGAUGAGGUCAAGUCAUCAUGCCCCUUAUGUCCUGGGCUACACACGUGCUACAAUGGGAAAGACAAUGAGCUGCAAAUCUGUAAAUUUAAGCAAAUCUCUUAAACUUUCUCGUAGUUCGGAUUGUGGGCUGCAACUCGCCCACAUGAAGUUGGAAUCGCUAGUAAUCGCCAGUCAGCUAUAUGGCGGUGAAUCCGUUCCCGGGCCU